rnacentral:rRNA from 1 species
GAUGAACGCUGGCGGCGUGCCUAAUACAUGCAAGUCGAGCGAACAGACGAGGAGCUUGCUUCUCUGACGUUAGCGGCGGACGGGUGAGUAACACGUGGAUAACCUACCUAUAAGACUGGGAUAACUUCGGGAAACCGGAGCUAAUACCGGCUAAUAUUUUGAACCGCAUGGUUCAAGAGUGAAAGACGGUUUUGCUGUCACUUAUAGAUGGAUCCGCGCGGCAUUAGCUAGUUGGUAAGGUAACGGCUUACCAAGGCAACGAUGCUUACCCGACCUGAGAGGGUGACCGGCCACACUGGACCUGAGCCACGGUCCAGACCCCUAGGGGAGGCAGCAGUAGGGAAUCUUCCGCAAUGGGGGAAAGCUUGACGGAGCAACGCCGCGGGAGUGAUGAAGGUCUUCGGAUCUUAAAACCCUGUUAUUAGGGAAGAACAAAUGUGUAAGUAACUGUGCACAUCUUGACGGUACCUAAUCAGAAAGCCAGGGCUAACUACGUG